UACGUAGGCAGCGAGCGUUGUUCGGAGUUACUGGGCGUAAAGCGUGCGUAGGCGGCGUCCCAAGUCUGGUGUGAAAUCUCCCGGCUUAACCGGGAGGGUGCGCUAGAAACUGGGUUGCUGGAGUACCGGAGAGGCAGGCGGAAUUCCUGGUGUAGCGGUGAAAUGCGUAGAUAUCAGGAGGAACACCGAUGGCGAAGGCAGGUCUCUGGGCCACUACUGACGCUGAGAAGCGAAAGCAUGGGGAGCGAACAGG
rnacentral:rRNA from 1 species